CCUACGGGCGGCAGCAGUGAGGAAUAUUGGUCAAUGGGCGCGAGCCUGAACCAGCCAAGUCGCGUGAAGGAUGACUCCCCUACGGGUUGUAAACUUCUUUUAUAAAGGACUAAAGUGAGGCACGUUUGCCUUUUUGUAUUUCCUUUAUGAAUAAGGAUCGGCUAACUCCGUGCCAGCAGCCGCGGUAAUACGGAGGAUCCGAGCUUUAUCCGGAUUUAUUGGGUUUAAAGGGAGCGUAGAUGGGUUGUUAAGUCAGGUGUGAAUGUUUGCGGCUCAACCGUAAAAUUGCAAUUGAUACUGGCAGUCUUGAGUACAGAUGAGGUAGGCGGAAUGCGUGGUGUAGCGGUGAAAUGCUUAGAUAUCACGAAGAACUCCGAUUGCGAAGGCAGCUUACUAAACUGCCACUGACAUUGAUGCUCGAAAGUGUGGGUAUCAAACAGGAUUAGAUACCCUUGUAGUC
rnacentral:rRNA from 1 species